rnacentral:misc_RNA from 1 species
GGGCUACGUGAGCACAAAGAACCACUAAAGAAACAUCCAGAAUUGGAUAGAUUGCUCAGGCAAGAGUAUUGCAGCUUGGAGGACUUCCGCACCAAAGAGAAGAAUGUAAAAGAGGAGAGUCAUUAGCUGGUAAUAAUGCAAAUCCCUGAUGGUGACAUCCUCCCAAUUUUGAAAAUCAAUUCUGAUAAGCAGGGAGAGACUUGGCUUAUAUUUUGUUGGAUGAGAAAAUUUGGUUUUUGUAUAUUGUAUUUUGGGGGAGUUGUCAUUUGCAUUAUAUUGUAUAUUGUUUUU